GAAAUAUAUUUAAGUAGUACUAGUUAACAGAAAUAUGAGAGUAUUAAAAGGAGAACUUAAGUUUUGGCCGUGACCUAAUUUUUCCCCUCUCCUAUUCUUUCUCUCGCGCGGCGUCGGGGUUCUCUUGGGCGAAAUCGCAGCCGCCGCCAGGAUUUCUUCCUCCGGUGGCCGACGAAGGUUUUCUUCCGACGGAUCUUCACCAAUUGAGACCACCUCGGCAGGAGGGCGCGUAGGCACGAGGAAGCGGCCGGGGAAACUCAAGCUUCGCCGCAAACCCUAGAUUUCUCCCUUCCGGUUGUAAGUCCUAAAAGCAAAGAUAAAGGUAAAGGAAAGAUGGACUAGCGGAGGCUGGAGGUCAAUGCAAUGAAGAUGUAUGUGGAUGGAACUUGGAGUAAAGAUCUUAGGGAAUUUCAGCGAGCUUUGUUUUAAGCAUUAGAACCUUUUAGCAUUUUAUUUUUCCGCGCCUUAGAAUGUUCAAAUGUUAUAAACUAGUGAACCAUGUCAUGUUAGAAUGUUAGUUAUUUUUCAUUAGGAUGUUUCUCAGUCA